rnacentral:rRNA from 1 species
UGCCAGCCGCCGCGGUAAUACGGGGGGCGCAAGCGUUAUUCGGAAUUAUUGGGCGUAAAGGGCUCGUAGGCGGCCUGCCAAGUCCCACGUGAAAGACCAGGGCUCAACCCUGGGAACGCGAGGGAAACUGGUAAGCUGGAAUCUUGGAGGGGGUACUGGAAUUCCUAGUGUAGGGGUGAAAUUCGUAGAUAUUGGGAAGAACACCAGUGGCGAAGGCGGCUAACUGGCUCGGUACUGACGCUGAGAUGCGAAAGCGUGGGGAGCAAACAGGAUUAGAUA